rnacentral:rRNA from 1 species
UACGGAGGGGGCUAGCGUUGUUCGGAAUUACUGGGCGUAAAGCGCGCGCAGGCGGUCUUCCAAGUCAGUGGUGAAAGCCCGGAGCUCAACUCCGGAAUUGCCAUUGAAACUGUGAGACUGGAGUACGAGAGAGGUGAGUGGAAUUCCCAGUGUAGAGGUGAAAUUCGUAGAUAUUGGGAAGAACACCGGUGGCGAAGGCGGCUCACUGGCUCGUAACUGACGCUCAGGCGCGACAGCGUGGGGAUCAAACAGG